rnacentral:rRNA from 1 species
AUUGAACGCUGGCGGCAUGCUUUACACAUGCAAGUCGAACGGUAACAGGUUAAGCUGACGAGUGGCGAACGGGUGAGUAAUGCAUCGGAACGUGCCCAGUCGUGGGGGAUAACGCAGCGAAAGCUGUGCUAAUACCGCAUACGAUCUACGGAUGAAAGCGGGGGAUCGCAAGACCUCGCGCGAUUGGAGCGGCCGAUAUCAGAUUAGCUAGUUGGUGGGGUAAAGGCCUACCAAGGCGACGAUCUGUAGCGGGUCUGAGAGGAUGAUCCGCCACACUGGAAUUGAGACACGGUCCAGACUCCGACGGGAGGCAGCAGUGGGGAAUUUUGGACAAUGGGGACAACCCUGAUCCAGCCAUGCCGCGUGAGUGAAGAAGGCCAUCGGGUUGUAAAGCUCUUUCGUCCGGGAAGAAAUCGCAUCAGCUAAUACCUGGUGUGGAUGACGGUACCGGAAUAAGAAGCACCGGCUAACUACGUGCCAGCCGCCGCAGUAAAAC